GACGAACGCUGGCGGCGUGCCUAAUACAUGCAAGUCGAGCGGAGAACUUGGAGCUUGCUCCAGGUUCUCAGCGGCGGACGGGUGAGUAACACGUGGGCAACCUGCCCUGCAGAUCGGGAUAACUCCGGGAAACCGGUGCUAAUACCGGAUAGUUUCGAGUCCCUCCUGGGACACGACGGAAAGACGGCGUCUCGCUGUCACUGCAGGAUGGGCCCGCGGCGCAUUAGCUAGUUGGUGAGGUAACGGCUCACCAAGGCGACGAUGCGUAGCCGACCUGAGAGGGUGAUCGGCCACACUGGGACUGAGACACGGCCCAGACUCCUACGGGAGGCAGCAGUAGGGAAUCUUCCGCAAUGGACGCAAGUCUGACGGAGCAACGCCGCGUGAGUGAAGAAGGUUUUCGGAUCGUAAAACUCUGUUGUGAGGGAAGAACAAGUGCCAAUUAACUACUGGCACCUUGACGGUACCUCACCAGAAAGCCACGGCUAACUACGUGCCAGCAGCCGCCGUAA
rnacentral:rRNA from 1 species